UUCUGGGCGGCUAGUCCGGUAACUGGUUGGGUCUGGUGGUGGAGUUCGCCGGGAACUGCUUUCCACACAUUUUAUUGAACCUUAGAUUCGAUUUUCUAGCAUUUACCCGCGAACUGCAAACACUUUCGGCGGCCUUUUUAAUUCGCGGUGGUGGAAAAUUUUCGCCAAGUUCGCGGUUAAUUAAUAUGCAAUUAGAGGUCGAUAUCAAUUUGCGCAAUGUACUGCCAAUAAACGGAUUUUAUUGUUUGUUUGACAAGUUUUUUCCCUCAAAUUUGUCUGUAAAUUAGAGCAGAAAGAAAUUUCGAUUAGCGGGUUGUGCAAAUUAUUUAAUUUUCCACUGAAUGGACAAAGAUUGUAUCAUUUUCUUUUAAGUCAGCUUGAUAAUUAUUUGCUUAUGGUACAACUAUAAUUUAUGAGCUUUAAUCCUUGCAAGUUUUUUGCAUAAAUAUGGAAUUACUGGAUUAAUACAGAAUAUUUACAAUAUUGGCCUAUAAUUAUUAUUAUUUUAUGGAAAGACCCUAGUUUUUGAGUUUUUCUCGGUGUAAAACUUGCUGGCUAACUAUGAAAAAUAAACUUUUUAUAUGGAUUAUUUUACUUUUGGCAAAGCAAAUAAUAGGUUAUAUAGUCUAUAUACAAUAUUGACCUAUAUUACUAUAACUAAGUGAAAAGUCCCAAUUUUUUUUAGUUUUCUGAGUGCUUUAAAUUCUAAAAAUGUAGUUAGGGAGAUUUUUUCCUUUUUAUUAUUGAAAAGUCCAGUAAUCACAUAAUGCGGUUAAAUGUAGGGGAUUUUCCCGCAUUCCCUUCCACAAAGAUCAGAGAUCGUGCAUCCGACAUGGUGGCCAGAACCCCGCUGGCGGCUUACUGGAUCCAACUGGAUUGUGUUGUGCCAGGUUUCCCAUCGAAGAUAGGCUCCCCACCCCCUACGGAUCGCCACUGCCACCUGGCACCGCUGAGACAUUAGAGCCCGGCAAGAAUUUAAUUGCCAGCCUGGCAAUCACCCGUCUUAAUUGAUCUCUCCCCCAGACCUACGUACUCCCCAGGUCGUAAGAGGAGAAUGGAUAAUGGCCGGUGGACAGUGGAUGGCAGGGGAAUGAGAAUCGGAUCGAGAUGGAAAGCGCUCGGGGGUGCGGCUUUCGGCUCUCAGGAAUGCCACCGCUUUGGUCUCCAUUUGGAAACCAACUCUGUAACAGGUUCACAGCAAAUAAACGCAAACAAAGUGACCAAGAAAAACGUAUGGAGGUGGUUGGGUAGCUAGAACGACUUGCAGAUACUUCAUAAUUAGUAUUGUUAAGAGGAUUUUUAUAUUAUUAUUGUCUCUUAUUAUGAAAUAUCCUACUGAUU